rnacentral:lncRNA from 1 species
GGGAGCGUAACAACUUGUUUGAUUGUUUGGUGGUGGUGGGGGCAAAAUUUAUUAUUAGUAGUAGUUGUAUUAUUCAGCACAAUUAUACACAAAUAUGUUAGGGGAAAAUUAGUUGUUCAUAGGGGGCCCGACACGCGUCACUUAGUCUUGACACUUCUCUGAACUGUCUCUGUCUGGACUACUGAAUGAAUUAUUUUGGACUUGCGAUAUGGACUGUGAAACUUCGAUAAAAGGGAAGCUGAAAACUUUCCACUUCCUUUUUGUAACUCACUGCAGACAAACUACCUGUUUAGCUAAUAUGUGCUACAGUCUACGAAGAAAACAACACACGACACCUUUCACUGCCAUUUAACUCACGCGCUGCGCCAGACAAGCCCCAGCGCGCCCCUCGCGGACAUAGCUGCCGUAUUCUGCUUCGAAGUGUCGCAUCUUCAGAUGUUUACGACACUUGUACGUGGUCUGCAGACGGCAAAGUCGGGCAGUCAGGUUCCAGUUCCGCAACAGGUGCUGUCAUCCGGGUCAUUAGUGACGCAUUUCAGUAACUGACAUUACAUGGACGUAUUUUACUGUGUCAUACAGGAAGAAGUUCACAACAUGGAAAAAACUACUGUAAAUCAUCAAAUCCGAGAAGGCUUAUUGUCUUUCUCUUGCCCCCAGUAAAUCAGGGCAUUGUGCACUUAACUUAAGACUUCUGUAUGUGUGUUUUACAGAAUGGUUAUUCAAACGAGCUCUGUUGACCCCAUGUAAUUUCUUGUCUCCUUUGGCCAUUUUUGUCGAAGCAGUUGUUGAGCUUUCUUAACAACUCGUCAGAGUCACUGCAAGUCCAAGAAGUGCAGACACAAAUGUCAACAUAAACAUGCCAUCUAGCUGCCCGCAGGAGGGCCAGAGGUCCUGCCUUUGGCUCCAGAACCUGAACAUGGACAUUUUGAGGGUAAUCUAUGUUUCUUGGGGGAGUAAAGGAAACCAAAGGCAUGCAGGUUUAUAUGGCAUGCUCCUUCAGAGGGACCAUUACAAGGUUCUGACCACACACACACGGUGAUGAAGACAUUCUGCCGAUAUACGUCCGUGUUAUGAAAAUUCAAAACCGAUUUCGGUAAGCCCUGCAUGUGUGUGUGUUUAUCU